rnacentral:rRNA from 1 species
UGUGUUAGCUGUUCUUUUGUCUAAAAAACAGAAGAAGUAAGGGCCGGGUAAGACGGGUGCCAGCCGCCGCGGUAAUACCCGCGGCCCGAGUGGUGGUCGAUAUUAUUGAGCCUAAAACGUCCGUAGCCGGUCUUGUAAAUCCUUGGGUAAAUCGGCCAGCUUAACUGUCCAAAGUCCGGGGAGACUGCAAGACUUGGGAUCGGGAGAGGUCAGAGGUACUUCUGGGGUAGGGGUAAAAUCCUGUAAUCCUGGAAGGACCACCGGUGGCGAAGGCGUCUGACUAGAACGAAUUCUACGGUGAGGGACGAAGCCCUGGGGCGCAAACGGGAUUAGAUACCCCGGUAGUCCAGGGUGUAAACGCUGCGGGCUUGGUGUUGGGAGUCCUUUGUGGGCGCCUAGUGCCGGAGAGAAGUUGUUAAGCCUGCUGCUUGGGGAGUACGUCCGCAAGGAUGAAACUUAAAGGAAUUGGCGGGGGAGCAC